CAGGUGUAGCAUCAUCAAGAU
rnacentral:miRNA from 1 species